AAGUCGUAACAAGGUUUCCGUAGGUGAACCUGCGGAAGGAUCAUUACAAAAUGAACCUUUGAAUGGUGUAUUCCAUUCUUAUUUCAAUGUGCACUUGCUUUAGGCUGGGGGCCCAUGGGAACUCCUUCGGGGGGACUCUGGGAGUCAGGGGUAACCUUGAUUUCCCACCUUAAGCUAUUUUCUCACUUGUUUGAUUAUAUGGACUUAAGUAAUUUUAUUUUAAUAAAAUACAACUUUCAGCAACGGAUCUCUUGGUUCUC
rnacentral:misc_RNA from 1 species